UACGGGGGGAGCAAGCGUUGUUCGGAUUUACUGGGCGUAAAGGGCGCGUAGGCGGCCACCGCAAGUCGACUGUGAAAUCUCCGGGCUUAACCCGGAAAGGUCAGCCGAUACUGCGGGGCUAGAGUGCAGAAGGGGCAACUGGAAUUCUCGGUGUAGCGGUGAAAUGCGUAGAUAUCGAGAGGAACACCUGCGGCGAAGGCGGGUUGCUGGGCUGACACUGACGCUGAGUGUGACGAAGCUAGGGGAGCGAACGGG
rnacentral:rRNA from 1 species